GAAAAUCUAUAAAUAGAACCUUUUCCCCACCAUUGACAACAUCAUUGUACAUACCACUUUCUACUCAUUCUUAGGCUUUCUUUUAGAGUUCUUUUUAUAGAAGUUCAUGAGGAAGUGAAGUUGGCAAAUGGUGUGCAAAAAUAUGAUUUUGUAACAUCAUUUAGAACCAAAAGCAUCCAAUCUUUGGAUGGAUGACUAAUGCUCCAAAACUUGGCUAUGGUGUAACACUUCUUCUCUUUAUGGUAAUUCUGAUUUUAUUAUUCAAGUUAUGUGUUUCUACUCUAUUAUUUCAUUUUAUCUACUCUUAAUGCUUAUUUUAGCUUGAUCACCUAAAAUAUGUUUUCAAAGAUUCAAAAGUCUUUUGUUGGAUGAAAUAACAAAUAUGCUCACGCUUCAAUGGUAGACUUGAAUAUUUUUCAUUUCCAAGCAUCCAUUUCAAGCAACUUGUUUUCAAGAUUAUCAACAUUUGGAAAUCCGGAAUAGGUGGUAACAUCCUUAUUUAUUUUAGAGGAUAUUUGAUUGGUGAUAAUAUACUAAGCAAGAAUUGAAAAUCGUCUUACUUGAUCCAAGAGGAAGGGUGAGUUAAGAAAUGGUGUAUGGUGGAUGGAAUCACACCAAAAUUACUUGUUUACAUUAUCAUUACUUAAAAG
rnacentral:lncRNA from 1 species